AAAAAUGUUACCACACAGACACUAAUAUCAAAAUAACAUUUUUUUUUUUUUUCUAUCUACUUUUUUCCCUACACCUACAGGAUGUCGUCACAUUAUAGCAUUAUAUCAUCAUCAUCAUCGCCAAACCGAAAUCAGAAAUCGUUUAACAGCAACUUGGAAAUCAUCAUGGGAUGAAACUCAACUCAAGAACGGGGGAAAAAUAUUGAACUUGAAAAUUUUUGGAACAGCGUUGUGAUGAAUAACUCAACACAACAAAAACAGAAACAACAAAAUAAAGAAAAAGUUAUCAAAAUGCAUUUGAAA